AAGUCGUAACAAGGUUUCCGUAGGUGAACCUGCGGAAGGAUCAUUAAAGAGACGUUGCCCUUCGGGGUAUACCUCCCACCCUUUGUUUAUUAUACCUUUGUUGCUUUGGCGGGCCCGUCCUCGGACCACCGGCUUCGGCUGGUCAGUGCCCGCCAGAGGACCUAAAACUCUGUUUGUUCAUAUUGUCUGAGUACUAUAUAAUAGUUAAAA
rnacentral:misc_RNA from 1 species